rnacentral:rRNA from 1 species
GGCGUGCUUAACACAUGCAAGUCGAACGGGAACCUUUAUUUCGGUAAAGGUGAGAGUGGCAAACGGGUGAGUAACAGUGGCAACCUGCCGACAGGAUGGGGACAAAUUCCGAAAGGAAUGCUAAUACCGAAUGGAGUCCGAGGAUGGCAUCAUCCUUGGAUAAAAGAUGGCCUCUUAACAAUGCUAUCGCCUGUCGAUGGGCCUGCGUCUGAUUAGCCAGUUGGCGGGGUAACGGCCCACCAAAGCGACGAUCAGUAGCCGGUCUGAGAGGAUGAACGGCCACAUUGGGACUGAGACACGGCCCAGACUCCUACGGGAGGCAGCAGUGGGGAAUCUUCCACAAUGGGCGAAAGCCUGAUGGAGCAACGCCGCGUGAGAGAAGAAGGUCUUCGGAUCGUAAAGCUCUGUUGCACGGGACGAAAACUGGGUUUGAAAACAUUGAAACCUGGGUGACGGACC